rfam:Triticum aestivum genome assembly, contig: Triticum_aestivum_CS42_TGACv1_scaffold_328229_4BS
AAAAUCACUAAGGGGCACUAGAUGCACUUACAGAUCCCAUUAGAACUCCGAAGUUAAGCAUGCUUGGGCAAGAGUAGUACUAGGAUGGGUGACCUCCUGGGAAGUCCUCGUGUUGAAUUCC